AAUUUGUUGUAGUAUCCCUUUAAGGCGUCACAAGGGGCUUAAAAAUCGGUCGUGUCAAAGUCUGUCGUAGUCAAACGCAAGUGGGUGAACGGGCCUUAAACGUAUACCGUUCUGCCUGAGACGGCUUUUUUCGGAAAUCGAUUAAGGGAAGUUGACGGCUACCGUCGAAAUAAGUGGUAUAGGUAUUUAGACGUCCGUAACGUUGCUCCGGAAAAACGCAAAAAAAAAAAAAAAAAGAGUUUGGGUGUGUUUAUUUUUUCCACAUCCUCGCUGACAUGACCACUUUUACCGCGCCUCCCACGUGUUCGGGAGUCCGGGUGUUCAUUGUUGCAGCGCCAAGCGCUGAUUUUUUCGGUAUGGAACAGGACUUUGGAAAAAGGCGUCCCUUGUGGAUGCGACGGGCAGGAGGUAAAAGAACAGCGCUAUGAGCGAUAGCGACGAAGAAACCGUGCUUCGAGAGUAUACGAAUGAGGCGGAGGAGGUUCAUCCUUCUGGUCACUUUGGGGGUGCGGGUGGCAAGCAUGGUAAGUCUGCUUGAUAUACUGGGUUUGUGCUUGUUCUGAGCCAAGGUUACAUAGUGUUUUCUACGCUUGUUCUAGAGGACAGUGCAUUGAUCAAGGAGGUGGCUCAAGAGGAGAAUCGUCCAACCAGCUGUCUUGGCGGUGCAAAAGAAAAAAGGCUCGAGUGGAGGUUGCCGCAAGGCUGUUCCACCCAGGGGCGACAGUGGCAACCAUGGCUUCCCUGCAGAACUCGCCGAGAUUGAUGGAAGGGUGCAUCUGAAGCACGGAAUAUUUGUAACAACACAACAGUUGAACAAAGCAAUGCUAAAGGCAAAGACUGACUCAAAGUUCACAAAUCUUAUCACACGCUCCGUUUACACUGAUGAGGAGCUUAUGAACCGUAGUCUCACUGGCCCAGCCUAGUCGUUGCUACAUAAAGCAGGGGGCCAGUGGGAAGCAGGAAAUGACUCCUCAGAAGGUCGAUGCCAUUGGGGUGGUUUUGGGCCACUUGGUGGACAACCGCAUCCGAGAGGGUGUCACAAGGAAAGCGCGGGUUGGUGCCUGUCCGCACCAUCCUCUCCAACUUCUUGGUUGACCACAACCGGGCAGAUG